rnacentral:rRNA from 1 species
UAGGGAAUCUUCCGCAAUGGGCGAAAGCCUGACGGAGCAACGCCGCGUGAGUGAUGAAGGUCUUCGGAUCGUAAAACUCUGUUAUUAGGGAAGAACAAAUGUGUAAGUAACUAUGCACGUCUUGACGGUACCUAAUCAGAAAGCCACGGCUAACUACGUGCCAGCAGCCGCGGUAAUACGUAGGUGGCAAGCGUUAUCCGGAAUUAUUGGGCGUAAAGCGCGCGUAGGCGGUUUUUUAAGUCUGAUGUGAAAGCCCACGGCUCAACCGUGGAGGGUCAUUGGAAACUGGAAAACUUGAGUGCAGAAGAGGAAAGUGGAAUUCCAUGUGUAGCGGUGAAAUGCGCAGAUAUAUGGAGGAACACCAGUGGCGAAGGCGACUUUCUGGUCUGUAACUGACGCUGAUGUGCGAAAGCGUGGGGAUCAAACAGG